GAAAAACUGGGGAAGGUUUCAGGAAAAGAGCUCUUCAGAGACGCCCAGAUUAUGGUUUAUCCAGUGAUGGGUUUCCCAGAUGUUUCUGUUGCACAAGCGUCUGAGCGUUUAAUAAGAGACCAUCAGGUGAAAUAUACCAAGAACUCCCGCAUAAUACAACAGAGGCAGACGAUCGAGCUCAUUACCAUAACGAGAGUGAACUACACGUGGAAAGAGAAGCCUUAUGUUUAUUAUGUGUAUGGAAAUGAGUUGAAAGUGAACGCUGAUGACUAUCCUGACACCUGCUGCUGUUCUGUGAUGUGAUUCUGCAUGUUCAUUUAGGACUGUGCAUGCAAACAUCCAAACUGUACAUCCCACAUUUCUAACCUGACACGCCUAACAAAACCUGUGAGCGAUGACUAUUAUUUAGUAUUUAAAAAUUGUUCUAGGCAAACCUA